rnacentral:rRNA from 1 species
CCUACGGGAGGCCGCAGUGAGGAAUAUUGGUCAAUGGGCGGAAGCCUGAACCAGCCAAGUAGCGUGCAGGAUGACGGCCCUACGGGUUGUAAACUGCUUUUAUACGGGACUAAAGCGCCUUAAGUGUAGGGCUUUGCAUGUACCGUAUGAAUCAGGCACGGCUAAUUCCGUGCCAGCAGCCGCGGUAAUACGGAAGGUCCGGGCGUUAUCCGGAUGUAUGGGGGUUAAAGGGAGGGUAGGCCGGAUGUCCAGCGUGCUGUGAAAUGUCCGGGCUCAACCCGGGUCUUGCAGCGCGAACUGGCGUGCUUGAGUCCGCGGAAGGCAGGCGGAAUUCGUCGUGUAGCGGUGAAAUGCUUAGAUAUGACGAAGAACCCCGAUUGCGAAGGCAGCUUGCUGCAGCGGAACUGACGCUGAUGCUCGAAAGCGCGGGUAUCGAACAGGAUUAGAUACCCUUGUAGUC